AAUGAACGCUGGCGGCGUGCCUAACACAUGCAAGUCGAACGAGAAAUUUCCUGCUUGCAGGAGAAAGUAAAGUGGCGCACGGGUGAGUAACACGUGGGUAAUCUACCCUUGAAUUUGGGAUAACUUCGCGAAAGCGAUGCUAAUACCGAAUAUUAUGAUUUUAACUCCGGUUUUAAUUAUGAAAGGUGACCUCUUCUUGAAAGUUGCCGUUUAAGGAUGAGCCCGCGUACCAUUAGCUAGUUGGUAGGGUAAUGGCCUACCAAGGCUACGAUGGUUAGCUGGUCUGAGAGGAUGACCAGCCACACUGGAACUGAAACACGGUCCAGACUCCUACGGGAGGCAGCAGUGAGGAAUUUUGCGCAAUGGGGGAAACCCUGACGCAGCAACGCCGCGUGAGUGAAGAAGGCUUUCGGGUCGUAAAGCUCUGUCAGAUGGGAAAAAAGUUCAUUGAUUAAUAGUCUAUGAAUCUGAUGGUACCAUCAGAGGAAGCACCGGCUAACUCUGUGCCAGCCGCCGCUGUAAAAC
rnacentral:rRNA from 1 species